rnacentral:rRNA from 1 species
AUGAACGAGUCCUCCUCCCUCUCCCUCGCUCCACCCGGGGAGUCCAUGGCGGAGGUGCACGCCGGCAACCGCGAGCGCCUCGUCGCCGCGCUCCGCGCCCACCUCUCCGCCGCCGGCCGCCCUCUCCGCGGCAUCGUCCUUCUCAAGGGCGGCGAGGAGCAGACCCGUUACUGCACCGACCACGUCCCGCUCUUCAGGCAGGAGAGCUACUUCGCGUAUCUGUUCGGGGUGCGAGAGCCGGGGUUCUACGGCGCCGUCGACAUUGGUUCCGGACAGUCCAUCUUGUUCGCUCCAAGGUUCUCACCUGACGACGCUAUUUGGAACGGCAAACCCAAAAAAUUGCCUUACUUCAAGGACAUGUACAAGGUCGAUUCUGUCUUCUAUGUUGACGAGCUUGCGCAGGUUCUCCGAUGUGAAUGCAGUGAGCAUGGCCAUGGAGAGCCGCUUCUCUUCCUCUUAUACGGACAGAACACCGACAGCGGGAACUACUCAAGGCCUGCCAGUUUCGAGGGGAUGGACAAGUUCGACACCGACUUAAGCACGCUGCAUCCCAUCUUGACUGAAUGCCGUGUUACAAAAUCUGACAUGGAGCUUGCCCUCAUUCAGCAUGCCAACGAUGUCAGCUCAGAAGCGCACGUUGAGGUCAUGAGGAAGAUCAAGCCAGGCAUGACGGAAAAUCAGUUGGAGAGCACCUUUCGUUGCCAUGCAUCCAUGCACGAAGGCUGCCGGCGUUGCUCCUACACAUGCAUAUGUGCCACUGGACAGAACAGUUCCAUUCUUCAUUAUGGACAAAAUGAUGGGACGGUGAACGACGGAGACAUGGCUCUGAUGGACAUGGGAGCUGAAUACAACUUCUAUGCCUCUGACAUCACAUGUUCAUACCCUACCAAUGGAAAAUUCACAAGAAAUCAGGCAGUUGUGUACAAUGCCGUCCUCAAGGCUCAUAAUGAUGUGAUAUCGCAUAUGCCGCCUGGAGUAAAAUGGAUCGACAUGCACAAGCUGGCGGAGCGGAGAAUACUUGAGUCUCUAAAGGAAGAAGAUAUCAUCCGUGGUGAUAUUGGUGACAUGAUGGACAGAAGGUUGGGUGCCGUUUUCAUGCCUCAUGGUCUUGGGCACUUGCUUGGAAUCGACGCCCAUGAUCCCGGAGGCUACCCUGAGGGUUUGGAGAGGCCGGAGGAGCCGGGAUUGAGAUCCUUGCGGACCACAAGAGAACUUAAACAAGGCAUGGUUAUUACGGUCGAGCCGGGCUGUGAUUUCAUUGACGCUUUGCUGGGGCAGGCCAGGGAUGACCCAAUUUGCUCAAGCUUCUUCAACUGGGAAAAGAUAGAAAUGUACCGAAGCUUUGGUGGUGUUCGCAUCGAAAGUAAUGUGUAUGUGACGGCGCAAGGAUGCAAGAACCUCACGAACUGCCCCCGAGAGAUCUGCGAAAUCGAAGCGGUAAUGGCUGGUGCGCCCUGGCAUUCACGUGAUUCCUGUUCCAGUGCAACAACAACAGAGAAUGGCCUUAGCAAAGCCUAA